AAUUAUAGUUGAUGUAUCGGAGAGGUUAUUAUAUGAUUUUCCAUGUAGUAUUCUUAACAACAGUUUUGUAAAACUCGUUAAAAUCGACUUGCGAAGUUUCGGUGGGUAACCGACAAUAUUCAUCGUGGCAUACACACACAAUACGCUGAUAUUCGAUUGAAGUUUUUAAUUGUUUAAUUUUUUUCCGGAAGGAAUAAGCCCACCAUCAUUAUUCCAUUAUGAGUCGGGCAAGUUCAUUGAAAUCUAUUUCGAGAGGAAUAUGUGAUAAAUAAUAUUCACGGACAUAUAUUACAUUAUAAAAUAAUAGCUGGUACCGAAAUCGCUCUGCGGUGACGGUAAAAUUGUAUAGUAUGCAGCAAUUUACCGUAGCCGUAUUUUGCCGCUGGUGGUUUACACAUACGUCACGCUGUGGGCUUUUACGUGUAUUUAAAUGAGUGAUG